rnacentral:rRNA from 1 species
AGUGGCGAACGGGUGAGUAACACGUGAGCAACCUGCCCCGGACUCUGGGAUAAGCGCUGGAAACGGCGUCUAAUACUGGAUACGAACCACGAAGGCAUCUUCAGUGGUUGGAAAGAUUUUUUGGUCUGGGAUGGGCUCGCGGCCUAUCAGCUAGUUGGUGAGGUAACGGCUCACCAAGGCGUCGACGGGUAGCCGGCCUGAGAGGGUGACCGGCCACACUGGGACUGAGACACGGCCCAGACUCCUACGGGAGGCAGCAGUGGGGAAUAUUGCACAAUGGGCGGAAGCCUGAUGCAGCAACGCCGCGUGAGGGAUGACGGCCUUCGGGUUGUAAACCUCUUUUAGCAAGGAAGAAGCGAAAGUGACGGUACUUGCAGAAAAAGCGCCGGCUAACUACGUGCCAGCAGCCGCGGUAAUACGUAGGGCGCAAGCGUUAUCCGGAAUUAUUGGGCGUAAAGAGCUCGUAGGCGGUCUGUCGCGUCUGCUGUGAAAACCCGAGGCUCAACCUCGGGCCUGCAGUGGGUACGGGCAGACUAGAGUGCGGUAGGGGAGAUUGGAAUUCCUGGUGUAGCGGUGGAAUGCGCAGAUAUCAGGAGGAACACCGAUGGCGAAGGCAGAUC